rnacentral:lncRNA from 10 species
CCAAUGCUGACCAUCUUGACCAGAAUAGAAGAGGGAGGCAAAAUGUGUGUAUCCCUGAGCUGGAAGUUCAACCAGGCAGAUUUCAUGGGCUUCUUUCACACAAGAAGGCAAUACCAGAAGAAAUGGAUGUGACUGCUUUACAUUAAUUUCUACUGAUCCCAUCCAAACAGAUAAUAUCAGAAGAAAUGGAUGUGACUGCUUUACAUUAAUUUCUACUGAUCCCAUCCAAACAGAUGAACAACUUGAUGUCUUCCUUUAAAAAAAAAAUGACAUGUGGCCUUCAUAGCUUUUUUCCUUCCCCUUGAUGUAAAUCUCAAGUGUUUAAAAGGAGGAAUGAGUCUAAAUCAUAGAAAAUCUCUAUUUAGAUUGGGAUAAGCUAAUUAGCUAUUAUUUAUUGAUCCCUUGCUGUAAGUCAGAAACUAUAUUCGAUGCUUUCAAUGUAUUAAAUCUGAUCCUUCUCUCAACCCUG